rfam:Perkinsus marinus ATCC 50983 gcontig_1104296455210, whole genome shotgun sequence.
GGGCGUGUGGUGUAGAGGUAUCACGUCUGCUUCGCAUGCAGAAGGCCUCGAGUUCAAUUUUCGGCACGUCCA